GAUGAACGCUGGCGGCGUGCCUAAUACAUGCAAGUCGAGCGAACGGACGAGAAGCUUGCUUCUCUGAUGUUAGCGGCGGACGGGUGAGUAACACGUGGAUAACCUACUUAUAAGACUGGGAUAACUUCGGGAAACCGUAGCUAAUACCGGAUAAUAUUUUGAACCGCAUGGUUCAAAAGUGAAAGACGGUCUUGCUGUCACUUAUAGAUGGAUCCGCGCUGCAUUAGCUAGUUGGUAAGGUAACGGCUUACCAAGGCAACGAUGCAUAGCCGACCUGAGAGGGUGAUCGGCCACGCUGGAACUGAGACACGGUCCAGACUCCUACGGGAGGCAGCAGUAGGGAAUCUUCCGCAAUGGGCGAAAGCCUGACGGAGCAACGCCGCGUGAGUGAUGAAGGUCUUCGGAUCGUAAAACUCUGUUAUUAGGGAAGAACAUAUGUGUAAGUAACUGUGCACAUCUUGACGGUACCUAAUCAGAAAGCCACGGCUAACUACGUG
rnacentral:rRNA from 1 species